rnacentral:rRNA from 1 species
GCCUGAGAAACGGCUACCACAUCUAAGGAAGGCAGCAGGCGCGCAAAUUACCCAAUCCUAAUACAGGGAGGUAGUGACAAGAAAUAACAAUACAGGACUUUUUGGUUUUGUAAUUGGAAUGAGUUAAGUAUAAACCCCUUUACAAGUAUCAAUUGGAGGGCAAGUCUGGUGCCAGCAGCCGCGGUAAUUCCAGCUCCAAUAGCGUAUAUUAAAGUUGUUACAGUUAAAAAGCUCGCAGUUGGAUUUCUGUUAAUAAUUUAUAUAAAAUAUUUUGUAUAUUUAUAUCACAUUAACAUAAUUCAUAUUACUAUAUUUUUUAGUAUAUGAAAUUUUACUUUGAGAAAAUUAGAGUGCUUAAAGCAGGCAUAUGCCUUGAAUACUCCAGCAUGGAAUAAUAUUAAAGAUUUUUAUCUUUCUAAUUGGUUCUAAGAUAAGAAUAAUGAUUA